UGCGCCUGCGGGGGACCCGGCGCGUUCGACCGAAACGGCUUCACAGGCAGCCCGUUCGCGUACGGUCCGGUACAUCCCGGAAUUUUCCGGGCUUUAACGUCUUCU
rnacentral:sRNA from 1 species